AUUGAACGCUGGCGGCAGGCCUAACACAUGCAAGUCGAACGGUAACAGAAAGCAGCUUGCUGCUUUGCUGACGAGUGGCGGACGGGUGAGUAAUGUCUGGGAAACUGCCUGAUGGAGGGGGAUAACUACUGGAAACGGUAGCUAAUACCGCAUAACGUCGCAAGACCAAAGAGGGGGACCUUCGGGCCUCUUGCCAUCGGAUGUGCCCAGAUGGGAUUAGCUAGUAGGUGGGGUAACGGCUCACCUAGGCGACGAUCCCUAGCUGGUCUGAGAGGAUGACCAGCCACACUGGAACUGAGACACGGUCCAGACUCCUACGGGAGGCAGCAGUGGGGAAUAUUGCACAAUGGGCGCAAGCCUGAUGCAGCCAUGCCGCGUGUAUGAAGAAGGCCUUCGGGUUGUAAAGUACUCUCAGCGGGGAGGAAGGGAGUAAAGUUAAUACCUUUGCUCAUUGACGUUACCCGCAGAAGAAGCACCGGCUAACUCCGUG
rnacentral:rRNA from 1 species